rnacentral:rRNA from 1 species
CCUACGGGGGGCAGCAGUGGGGAAUAUUGGACAAUGGGGGGAACCCUGAUCCAGCGACGCCGCGUGAGUGAAGAAGUAUUUCGGUAUGUAAAGCUCUAUCGGCAGGGAAGAAAGAAAUGACGGUACCUGACUAAGAAGCCCCGGCUAACUACGUGCCAGCAGCCGCGGUAAUACGUAGGGGGCAAGCGUUAUCCGGAUUUACUGGGUGUAAAGGGAGCGUAGACGGCGAUGCAAGUCUGAAGUGAAAGGCGGGGGCCCAACCCCCGGACUGCUUUGGAAACUGUAUGGCUGGAGUGCAGGAGAGGUAAGUGGAAGUCCUAGUGUAGCGGUGAAAUGCGUAGAGAUUAGGAGGAACACCAGUGGCGAAGGCGGCUUACUGGACUGUAACUGACGUUGAGGCUCGAAAGCGUGGGGAGCAAACAGGAUUAGAUACCCUUGUAGUC